rnacentral:rRNA from 1 species
UGGGGAAUAUUGGACAAUGGGCGCAAGCCUGAUCCAGCCAUGCCGCGCGAGUGAUGAAGGCCCUAGGGUUGUAAAGCUCUUUUGUGCGGGAAGAUAAUGACGGUACCGCAAGAAUAAGCCCCGGCUAACUUCGUGCCAGCAGCCGCGGUAAUACGAAGGGGGCUAGCGUUGCUCGGAAUCACUGGGCGUAAAGGGUGCGUAGGCGGGUCUUUAAGUCAGGGGUGAAAUCCUGGAGCUCAACUCCAGAACUGCCUUUGAUACUGAAGAUCUUGAGUUCGGGAGAGGUGAGUGGAACUGCGAGUGUAGAGGUGAAAUUCGUAGAUAUUCGCAAGAACACCAGUGGCGAAGGCGGCUCACUGGCCCGAUACUGACGCUGAUGCACGAAAGCGUGGGGAGCAAACAGGGUUAGAUACCCUGGUAGUCCACGCCGUAAACGAUGAAUGCCAGCCGUUAGUGGGUUUACUCACUAGUGGCGCAGCUAACGCUUUAAGCAUUCCGCCUGGGGAGUACGGUCGCAAGAUUA